rnacentral:rRNA from 1 species
GAUGAACGCUGGCGGCGUGCCUAAUACAUGCAAGUCGAGCGAACGGACGAGAAGCUUGCUUCUCUGAUGUUAGCGGCGGACGGGUGAGUAACACGUGGAUAACCUACCUAUAAGACUGGGAUAACUUCGGGAAACCGGAGCUAAUACCGGAUAAUAUUUUGAACCGCAUGGUUCAAAAGUGAAAGACGGUCUUGCUGUCACUUAUAGAUGGAUCCGCGCUGCAUUAGCUAGUUGGUAAGGUAACGGCUUACCAAGGCAACGAUGCAUAGCCGACCUGAGAGGGUGAUCGGCCACACUGGAACUGGGACACGGUCCAGACUCCUACGGGAGGCAGCAGUAGGGAAUCUUCCGCAAUGGGCGAAAGCCUGACGGAGCAACGCCGCGUGAGUGAUGAAGGUCUUCGGAUCGUAAAACUCUGUUAUUAGGGAAGAGCAUAUGUGUAAGUAACUGUGCACAUCUUGACGGUACCUAAUCAGAAAGCCACGGCUAACUACGUG